rnacentral:lncRNA from 1 species
CUUGUCCCUCCUGCUUUGCUAGCACUGGGGUUAUGGGCGUGCCACUACACCUGGCUUUUCAGAUGGUCUUUGAGGAUUGAAUUCAGGUCCUCAUGCCUUCUCAGUGAGCACAUAUAGACUGAGCAUUGCUGAAGACCCAGGAGAUAAAAUAAAAAAGUUUAUAUGUAUACAUGUUUUUCCCGAAUGUGUGUCUGUGUGAAUGUUUGUGUUUAUGUGCAUGUCUGUGAGUGUCUCUUUGUAUGUCUCUGUGUGUCAGGCUGUGUGUCUGUGUGUGCCUGUGUGUGUUUCUGAGUGUGUCCUGUGUCUGUCUGUGUAUCUAUGUGUGUGUGUAUGUGUGUGUUUGUUCAUGUGUGUGUGUCUGUCUGUUUCUGUGUGUGUGUUUGUGUGUCUGUCUGUGUGCCUAUAUUUGUGUGUUCUGUGUGUUUCUGUGUGUGUCUGUGUGUUUGUUCAUGUGUGUGUCUGUCUGUGUUUGUGUGUGUGUGUGUCUGUUUCUGUGUGUUUUUGUCUGUGUCUGUGUGCCCAUGUGUGUGUGUGGGUCCUGUGUGUGUCUGUGUGUCUGUGUGUGUGUGUGUGUGUGUGUGUGUGUUCCUGUGUGUGAGAGUGGUCUGUUUGUGUGUGCAUGUGUGAGUGUGUGUGUGUGUGUGUUUGUGUGUCUGUCUGUGUGUUUGUGUGUGUCCUGUGUCUGUGUUUCUGUGUGUUUGUUCAUGUGUGUAUGUGUGAAUGUGUCCUGUGUUUGUGUUUCUGUGUGUGUGUGUGUGUCUGUUAGUGUGUGUUUGUGUGUGCUGUGUUUCCAUCGACUGUGUCCUGUGUCUGCACAUCACCACAGCAGUGUCCCUCCAGCUUCCUUGUCCCCUUCUCUACAUGACCACUCUUGCAUAGCCUUGUCCUUAGGAGGAGUCAGAGCCAUGAAGCUCAACUACUACAAAAAAAACCAAGAGGUUUCUGUCCAGCAGGUGCCCUACAGAGAUCCAGCGAUGAGGUUUGUUGCCCAUCUGCCUGGU